rnacentral:rRNA from 1 species
AACGCGAAGAACCUUACCUGGCCUUGACAUCCACGGAAUUUGGCAGAGAUGCCUUAGUGCCUUCGGGAACCGUGAGACAGGUGCUGCAUGGCUGUCGUCAGCUCGUGUUGUGAAAUGUUGGGUUAAGUCCCGCAACGAGCGCAACCCUUAUCCUUUGUUGCCAGCGAUUCGGUCGGGAACUCAAAGGAGACCGCCGGUGAUAAACCGGAGGAAGGUGGGGAUGACGUCAAGUCAUCAUGGCCCUUACGGUCAGGGCUACACACGUGCUACAAUGGCGUAUACAAAGAGAAGCGAACUCGCGAGAGCAAGCGGACCUCAUAAAGUACGUCGUAGUCCGGAUCGGAGUCUGCAACUCGACUCCGUGAAGUCGGAAUCGCUAGUAAUCGUGGAUCAGAAUGCCUCGGUGAAUACGUUCCCGGGCCUUGUACACACCG